AGUUUGAUCCUGGCUCAGAUUGAACGCUGGCGGCAGGCCUAACACAUGCAAGUCGAGCGGUAACACAGGGAGCUUGCUCCCGGGUGACGAGCGGCGGACGGGUGAGUAAUGUCUGGGAAACUGCCUGAUGGAGGGGGAUAACUACUGGAAACGGUAGCUAAUACCGCAUAACGUCGCAAGACCAAAGAGGGGGACCUUCGGGCCUCUUGCCAUCAGAUGUGCCCAGAUGGGAUUAGCUAGUAGGUGGGGUAAUGGCUCACCUAGGCGACGAUCCCUAGCUGGUCUGAGAGGAUGACCAGCCACACUGGAACUGAGACACGGUCCAGACUCCUACGGGAGGCAGCAGUGGGGAAUAUUGCACAAUGGGCGCAAGCCUGAUGCAGCCAUGCCGCGUGUAUGAAGAAGGCCUUCGGGUUGUAAAGUACUUUCAGCGGGGAGGAAGGCGAUAAGGUUAAUAACCUUGUCGAUUGACGUUACCCGCAGAAGAAGCACCGGCUAACUCCGUGCCAGCAGCCGCGGUAAUACGGAGGGUGCAAGCGUUUAAUCGGAAUUACUGGGCGUAAAGCGCACGCAGGCGGUCUGUCAAGUCGGAUGUGAAUCCCCGGGCUCAACCUGGGAACUGCAUUCGAAACUGGCAGGCUAGAGUCUUGUAGAGGGGGG
rnacentral:rRNA from 1 species